GUCUGUGUAGCUCAGUUGUAUAGAGCGACUGCCUCCUAAGCAGUAGGUCGCCGGUUAGAUUCCGGCCACGGACA
rnacentral:tRNA from 1 species